rnacentral:rRNA from 1 species
GGAGCUGAAGCCAGUCGCAGAUACCAGCUGGCUGCAACUGUUUAUUAAAAACACAGCACUGUGCAAACACGAAAGUGGACGUAUACGGUGUGACGCCUGCCCGGUGCUGGAAGGUUAAUUGAUGGGGUUAUCCGUAAGGAGAAGCUCUUGAUCGAAGCCCCAGUAAACGGCGGCCGUAACUAUAACGGUCCUAAGGUAGCGAAAUUCCUUGUCGGGUAAGUUCCGACCUGCACGAAUGGCGUAAUGAUGGCCAGGCUGUCUCCACCCGAGACUCAGUGAAAUUGAACUCGCUGUGAAGAUGCAGUGUACCCGCGGCAAGACGGAAAGACCCCGUGAACCUUUACUAUAGCUUGACACUGAACAUUGAGCCUUGAUGUGUAGGAUAGGUGGGAGGCUUUGAAGUGUGGACGCCAGUCUGCAUGGAGCCAACCUUGAAAUACCACCCUUUAAUGUUUGAUGUUCUAACGUUGCCCCGUUAUCCGGGGUGCGGACAGUGUCUGGUGGGUAGUUUGACUGGGGCGGUCUCCUCCCAAAGAGUAACGGAGGAGCACGAAGGUUGGCUAAGCAUGGUCGGACAUCAUGCGGUUAGUGCAAAGGCAUAAGCCAGCUUGACUGCGAGAGUGACGGCUCGAGCAGGUACGAAAGUAGGUCUUAGUGAUCCGGUGGUUCUGAAUGGAAGGGCCAUCGCUCAACGGAUAAAAGGUACUCCGGGGAUAACAGGCUGAUACCGCCCAAGAGUUCAUAUCGACGGCGGUGUUUGGCACCUCGAUGUCGGCUCAUCACAUCCUGGGGCUGAAGUAGGUCCCAAGGGUACGGCUGUUCGCCGUUUAAAGUGGUACGCGAGCUGGGUUUAGAACGUCGUGAGACAGUUCGGUCCCUAUCUGCCGUGGGCGUUGGAAGAUUGAAAGGGGCUGCUCCUAGUACGAGAGGACCGGAGUGGACGCACCACUGGUGUUCGGGUUGUCAUGCCAAUGGCAUUGCCCGGUAGCUAAGUGCGGAAGAGAUAACCGCUGAAAGCAUCUAAGCGGGAAACUUGCCUUGAGAUGAGUCUUCCCUGACCCUUUAAGGGUCCUAAAGGAACGUUUAAG